rnacentral:rRNA from 1 species
AUGUUAAUUUGUGCGGCAGCAUCACAAUGGUUUAUCAAUAUGAUAGCUUUGGUUGUCCAAUCUAGAAAAAGAAAAAGGAGAGAAGCAAUUACAUAUGCCGCAAUUGAUGAGAGAGAUAGGAUGAGAAGAGAGUACUUUGAUAACAAAGUAUGGAAGAAUGACACAACUUGUGUGAACAUGCUUAGGCUUCGGAGAGCUCCUUUCUUUCGGUUUUGUCAACUAUUUAGAGAUCGCAAUUUGCUAAAGGACACAAUCCAUAUGUCCAUUGAGCAGCAAGUAGCAAUGUUUUUGCACACCGUUGGUCACAACGUUCGGAAUAGAGUAAUUGGUGCAAUUUCGGUAGAUCUGGUGAAGUUGUUAGCCGCUAUUUUAAAAAAGUACUCCAUGCAAUUGGUGAGCUUCGAGAUGAACUUAUUAGGAAGCCUUCAUUGGGGACCCAAAAGAAAAUAG